AAGUUUUGUUUAAACCGAAAAAAUAUGGACUGACUUUGGAUUUUUCUUUGGAAUAUGUAUAUUUUUUGGAAGGCCCYCCUUUUUAGGGGAUCUUAUUGGCACGUGUAAGAGUGUUUAGUUUUUAUUUUUUGUGUGAUGCUUGUUUUCUUUUUGUGUUAAAAAACAGAWAAAUAUUUGGCUUAUUGGUCUAUUUAUAUGUAUUACUAUUUUUAAUUUUUUUUGGAUGAUYUUUUAAUUUUUUUCUGAAAUUGGAAAAAAAAGUAAUUUUUUUU
rnacentral:rRNA from 1 species